UAGCAUUCAGUUUGUCCGUAAGGAUUGAGACUGGAAAUGGCAAUUGGAGCAGACUUUUAAGGAUGCCAUUACUGUGGCUGCAUGAAAUAAUUGUGUGAUCUUUUCUGUAAAAAGAAAAAAAAGCUAUUGAAAAAUGUUAAAUAUGUUUUAAGAAAACAAAUUGUAAAGAUUCUCCAUUUUCUACAAGAAUGGAAGUAUGAAUUUCUGGUGAUCUUAAAAUUUAAAUUUAGGAAAAUUUCUUUUUAUCUGUUGCAUAAAAUGGCUAGAUCUUUUUAUACUUACAAACCUCAGAGGGAAUAUUAACACUUCUAAUGGUUUAGAAUGGAGGAUCUAAAAAAAAAGAAAAAAAAAAAAAAACUUUUGUAAAAUAUUUUAAUUUAUUUUACAAGAAGCAUAGUUAAAGAACAUCUAGGGUGAAAAUGAAAGAGUACUAAAUUUUAUAUUGAAAUUUGUUGAUUUAAAAAAAAAAAUCAUAUUCUUGAUAGUUAAAAGUGCAGGCAUCUGAUAUUUUUGAAGAACUGUAUUUUGUAAAAAUAAAUGGAAAACAAAUACAUUGACAAGUGAUAAAAUAAACUGUUUUAAACAAAAAUAACAUGAGACUUUUAUGAACUAGUGUCUAAAAGUUUUGACAAAACUCAUAGAAUAGGGGGACAUUCAUUCACUUACAUUGAUACAAUGAUGGCAGCCAGGAUAGCAGCUAUUGGGAAGACGGUCAAUUAAAUCUUCAACCAAUUCUGAGGCUUUACCAGGAAAUAUUUGUGGUUGAUGUAAUGUAUUCAUGGUGUUGGAAGUAAAACUUGGGAGAUCUGAUACUGCUAACAUUUUGGUAAAAGUGUAACUGCUGCUGCUUUAGUGUGUGGUCAGUCCUGUGGACAAUAAUUAUGGGUCAAUCCUGUGGACGAUAAUAAUCAUGCAAACCAUAUGAUAAACUUUUGUUGUUUUGUUUUUACUAUAAUCCUUAAAUGAUAGUUCUGUAAGCCAAAAGAUUAAUAUAUUUUAAAUGCUGUUAUUUUAUUUUCCAGUUAUUUCUGUAAAUUCAAUUUAAUUUCCAAUUUCUGUAAAUUCACAAGUUUUUGCAAAAUUUCAUUUCUGUGAAAAUUGCCAGAGAAUAGGUUCUGCAAUAAUAAAAAGUUUAUAACUUACAUUUUAAAUUUUGAUAGCAUUGGCUAUAAUUAAAUUUAACAUUUGUUAUCCAAUGUUUAACCAUCUCAAAUAAAAAAUGCUUGUAAAAAAUUCUGAAUUGCAGAAUAGAUAUGUUUUUAUUAUUUUUUCUAAUGCAUUCUGGGUAACAUUUUCAAAAGCAGACCCCAAAAUGUUCGUCGUGUAUCUUUAUAUGAAUUUUCUGAAAGUUGAAUUUUGAGGAUUGAACUCUUACUUUUUGUUUAGAUUUUUGAAUGCCAACCAAUAAGAUAUGCCAGUUUCCUCCACCAAUAAAAUCUGGUCACCAUAAUGUAGCGGAGGUUGCUGAAAGUGGUGUUAAACACCAACAAAGUUACAAACUGAAAUUUUAAGUGUCCAAAUUGAAAUGAAUUGAAAUGAAUGAACUUGUGAAACAAGAAAGCAAAAUUAAGCAGCUUCUAUCAUAAUUUUAUAAUGUGAAUGAUAAGAUGGUUUGAAUAUUUUUUAUUUUGUUUCACUGCUUUUUGUUGUCAGAUGCCAGCAUUGAAGAUUCAAAUUGAGAUGAAAAUUCAGAACCUGCUGCAAUUGUAUCUAUGACAAUAUCUUCGAAACCAUCCUAUCCUUCAGUAUGAGUAAUAAGAUACUACAAAUAUUAAAUCCAUUCUUAAACUGGAGAACUUUAGAAAGAAAAUAAUAAAAUAGUGCACGUCAGCAGAUACUGAGGAAUAUAAUGAAAGUGUUGAGAAAAGGCCAAUACUCUUUUUACUGUAAAUUCAGAAAUUAAUCUGCAUUUAUUAUUGUGAAUCCUUGACCUCUGGCAAAAGCGUGAGCAAAAGCGUGAAAUUUAAUUACUACGAUUGCAAAGAUUUUAUGAAGGAAAAUUACUACUAAAAUUAUGAAUGCGACUGUUUAUUAUUACUGUCGCAUUUUUCGCAUUAAUAAAAACAUCACAAUAAUUUCUGAUUUUACAGUAAUUAUUAUUGGAGUAAUAGAUUAUGAGCCAACAGAUAAUAUUGCUCUAUUUCAUACAUUUCGUAAUGAAGAAAUUUUACUUUAAAGUUAUCUCCCUUCCUUAGAAAAAAUUUAGUACUCGUUCACUGCAAUGCAGAGUGCUCAAUUAUUACAAUUAGAUAUGUAAAUUGAACUACUACAAUGUACCCAAUCAAAUUUAGUAAGAAAAGGAUAGAAGUGCAAAAAGAUUAAGAAUCUUUGCAAAAUAACAAAACUUGGGGUUUAGAUAGAAGAAAUAAAAGGCAAUUAUAUUUUUCUAGGUGAUAAGUUUUUUGCACAUAUUUAGAAGUGAAGUUUAUUUAAAUCACUCUAGGAAAUCAGUCAAAAACACCUCAAAUAAACAAAUUCAGUAUGUUUUUACCUUUUUAUUGUAGCUUGUACAAUAUUUUUGUUUGUUUAAGAUUUCUUUUAUAUUGUUUGAAAUGCUGUUUUUAAAAGAACAAG